CAGGCCGUGGCUGAGAUAGCUAAGCAUCUCCCUUACACUGAGAAGACAUUCAUGCAAAUUGAAUCGCCCUGA
rnacentral:tRNA from 1 species